CGCUGGCGGCGUGCCUAAUACAUGCAAGUCGAGCGAACAGACGAGGAGCUUGCUCCUCUGACGUUAGCGGCGGACGGGUGAGUAACACGUGGAUAACCUACCUAUAAGACUGGGAUAACUUCGGGAAACCGGAGCUAAUACCGGAUAAUAUAUUGAACCGCAUGGUUCAAUAGUGAAAGACGGUUUUGCUGUCACUUAUAGAUGGAUCCGCGCCGCAUUAGCUAGUUGGUAAGGUAACGGCUUACCAAGGCAACGAUGCGUAGCCGACCUGAGAGGGUGAUCGGCCACACUGGAACUGAGACACGGUCCAGACUCCUACGGGAGGCAGCAGUAGGGAAUCUUCCGCAAUGGGCGAAAGCCUGACGGAGCAACGCCGCGUGAGUGAUGAAGGUCUUCGGAUCGUAAAACUCUGUUAUUAGGGAAGAACAAAUGUGUAAGUAACUAUGCACGUCUUGACGGUACCUAAUCAGAAAGCCACGGCUAACUACGUGCCAGCAGCCGCGGUAAUACGUAGGUGGCAAGCGUUAUCCGGAAUUAUUGGGCGUAAAGCGCGCGUAGGCGGUUUUUUAAGUCUGAUGUGAAAGCCCACGGCUCAACCGUGGAGGGUCAUUGGAAACUGGAAAACUUGAGUGCAGAAGAGGAAAGUGGAAUUCCAUGUGUAGCGGUGAAAUGCGCAGAGAUAUGGAGGAACACCAGUGGCGAAGGCGACUUUCUGGUCUGUAACUGACGCUGAUGUGCGAAAGCGUGGGGAUCAAACAGGAUUAGAUACCCUGGUAGUCCACGCCGUAAACGAUGAGUGCUAAGUGUUAGGGGGUUUCCGC
rnacentral:rRNA from 1 species